rnacentral:lncRNA from 1 species
AAUUUGGCAUGAUUCAGAGUGAAGCUGAUCACUCUGUAUUCUAUUGGCAUUCUGCUUCGAGUCUCUGUAUUUAUCUGGUGGUCUAUAUUGAUGACAUUGUUAUUACCGACAAUGACUAGGAUGGUAUAGCUAAUUUGAAGCAACAUCUCUUUCAAUAUUUUCAGACUAAGGAUAUGGGCAAACUAAAAUAUUUUCUGGGUAUUGAGGUCGCUCAGUCUAACUCAGGUAUUGUGGUUUCACAACAAAAGUAUGCCUUAGAUAUUCUUGAGGAGACAGGAAUGACAGGUUGUAGACCUGUUNNNNNNNNNNNNNNNNNNNNNNNNNNNNNNNNNNNNNNNNNNNNNNNNNNNNNNNNNNNNNCAGGUUGUAGACCUGUUGACACUCCGAUGGAUCCGAAUUCUAAACUUCUGCCAGGACAGGGGGAGCCGCUUAGCGAUCCUGCAAGAUAUAGAUGGUUGGUUGGUAAAUUAAAUUAUCUUACAGUGACAAGACCUGACAUUCCUUUUCUGUGAGUGUUGUGAGUCAGUUUAUGGGUUCUUUGUGUGAUAAUCAUUGGGAUGCAGUUGUUCGCAUUCUUCAGUGCAUAAAAUUAGCUCCAGGCAAAUGUUUAUUGUUUGAGGAUGCGGCCAUGAGCAAAUCGUUGGAUACUCAGAUGCUGAUUGGGCAGGAUCACUGCCUGGUAGACGUUCUACGUCCGGAUAUUGUGUCUUAGUAGGAGGAAAUUUGGUGUCCUGGAAAAGCAAAAAAUAGAAUGUAGUUGCUCGGUCUAGUGCAUAAGCAGAAUAUCGGGCGAUGGCUAUGGUAACAUGUGAGUUAAUUUGGAUCAAACAGUUGCUCAAGGAGUUGAAAUUUGGUGAGAUUAGUCAGAUGAGACUUGUGUGUGAUAAUUAAGCUGCUCUUCAUAUUGCAUCAAAUCCAGUAUUCCAUGAGAGAACUAAACAUAUUGAGAUUGACUGUCACUUUAUUAGAAAAAAGAUACUCUCGGGAGAUAUUGCUACAAAGUUUGUGAAGCCGAAUGAUUAGCUUGCAGAUAUUUUCACCAAGUCCCUCACUGGUCCACGUAUUAACUACAUAUGUAGCAAGCUCGGUACAUAUGAUUUGUAUGCACCAGCUUGAGGGGGAUUGUUAGAAUAAUAGUGUAAAUAGGAGUGAAUCACCCUAAUCCUAUAUGUAUUAGGAGUAGGAUAUGUUAUGUGUGUAUAUAUAGGGCUAAAUGUAGCAUUGUAAAUAAUAUAUCAAUAAUAUUUUCUCCCAUGCGUUCUCACAAUAUGGAAGACCAAACUGCCUAUCAAAGUCAUUUGUCACAUCUGGAUUGCCCUCAAUAAGGCCUACUUAACUCAAAACAACCUCAACAGAAGAGGUUUCCAGUUGGUCAACAGGUGUUAUCUAUAUGCCUGAGAGAUGCAGAAACUGUCAACCACCUGUUUUUGCAUUGCCCUGUGGCGUUUGACCGUUGGAAUAUGUUCCUUUGCAUUUUUCGCUUGAUUUGGGUCAUGCCACAGAAUAUGAAAGAGGCACACUUGAGCUGGAGUCUAUGGAGAGUUGACAAGACCAUCAAAAAAAUCUGGUUGAUGAUCCCUGGUGCUAUUUUUUGGUGUCUAUGGAAGGAAAGGAAUACAAGAUGUUUUGAUGGAAUUUCAACUCUAGUUCACAUUCUCAAAGCUAAUUGCCUACUCAAUCUUUUUUGUUGGACUAAAUUAGCUUCUGUAAUUAGCACUGAUCAAUUUUUAGACUUUGUUAGCUCCCUGAUCUUUAGAUUGACACGUAAAGGGAGCUACAAUUCUUAUUUUGUCUUUUUUCUGCAUUUCAUUACUUUUGUAACUUGCAUCUCGUUGAUGCCUUUUGCUAAUGAAACACCUUAUUUCAUCCAAAAAAUAAUAAUAGAGACAAUAAUAUCGGAAAAGAAACAAAAGAAAAGGCAUGUAACCACUCGGCUCAACCGAAAAGACAAUUAUACUAAUUUGAAUAUCUGCAUUGGUAAUUUGUUCCCACUCGGCCAAAUUUGC